rnacentral:lncRNA from 1 species
UCUUUUCCUUCUCUCUUCCUUUCCUCUUGCUUUUCUUGAAACAGUUUUUUUUUCUCCAUAUGGUCCACACUACCUUGGACCCAAACCCAUGAUCUUGGACUAUUAGCCUUGCCAGUGCUGGGAUUUAUUGGUGUGUGUUAUCUGGUGUAACAAAAGUCGGGAAAGCUCUUAGUCAGCCCUGGAUGGAAUUGUCUCCACUUGAACAGAUAACUUUUAGGAAACAGAUUAGUGGCCAGCACUGGUCAGGCAGAGGCAGGAUGAUCUCUGGGAGUUGAAGGCUGGCCCAUUGUACAAAGUGAGCUCCAGGGUUCCAGGACAGCCAGGGCUAGACAGAAAAACCCUGUCUUGAAAAACAACAACAAAAAGAAUUCAAAGCCAGCUUGUACUAGAUAGUUGGGGCAACCUGAACUACUUGACACCCUGUCUUCAAAACGGCAAGCACCAAGUGUGGUCCUUGCUCUGCGUGGUCCCAGAUCCUCAUUUGGAAGGGAUGGAGGCUGCGGGUAGGAUUUGACUGUAGUUCUGGCAUUAGAACAAUGAAGCCAAGUGACUGACUUGAAUUUAAGACCUGAAAAAGCUCGGGCUUGGAUCUGGAGUCUCUUUAGCGAGACGGGAAAGGAGUGCAUUUCCUGCCUGAGUGUCUGAAAUCUGAAGCACCACACCCUCGGGGACCGUUCCUGGGUCACAUUUGAUUUGCUGAAUGCCUUGUAAGAUUGGUCUUGGUGGGGGCAAGACCCCUUUAUUCGUGGAGAUCCACAGUAACCAAGCCCACCUGGAGGGCUUCUUAAAAUUCCCCUCUGUGGUUUGAAAAUGAGAGCUGAGCUAAAAGCACACUUGCUGUGGCAAUCUUAAGCUGCUUUUGCUGGUGUCAGGGGACUCUGCUCGUCCCUGGGGACUGGAAAGCUUGCUUCAUUUUCUCCUGUCUACCCGUGGAGCAAUGGGUGGCGGUUGAUUCAUCCAGUAGAAGCUGCUGCCGCCGCCUUCACAGAAGGUAAGCUUGUUCCAGUGGUUGAGUUUUCCUAUAUACCAGUCAGGAUAGCUGGAGAGCCCUAAGGAGUUCACUUUAUAAUUAAACAACCCUGAGACCAAAAAAAUGAACUUGGUAGUAUUGCCAGCCAGUUAAUGUCAGUGGGUAGCUUCCGAUUCAGUGGUCCUUAUGAUGGCCUAGUUUCUUCCUCCACCAACUUAGAUGCUUACCUUCCUGGGAAAGGAAGCUGGCAGAGCCUUUGAGACAUUUCUACCUCUGGAAUGCUGGCCGGCGCCAUCUUUCUCUGGGGAAUAGGCAGAGCCAUAGUGACCCAUUUUAGGCUUCCUCUCUGCUCUGCUCCCUGGAAACAUUCUAGCUAUGGGGAAGAACACUGCACAUAGGAGCAGAGAGCCACCAGUCACUGGCCUGAACUCUGCGGCUCCUGCCUCUCUGCUGCUGCUGGGGUCCUAGGGUAGUUACCUGAGGACCAUUGAAAGAAUCUGGAAAUACAUGAGGCCUGAAGGCAGGAAGACAUUCCCCUUUAGACUAAAGUGAGCUGUAUCAGAAGCAUAUUGGGGGAGGGGGCUGCAUUUUUAGCUGAUCCUUGUUGGAGGGAUGAGCAGUGCUCUGUAGCUUCGGGCUCAUUAAGGCUGGUUUCUCAGUCAGUUUGGCCUGUUUAUUCUAAGCUAACAAAAUGUCUUUAACUUCAGUUCUCUUCUAUUUCAUGUGUGCGCCCCUGUGGACCCAUGCAGAAGGCAGAGAAAAACAUUGCUUUCUCUCCAUCUAUCCCCAUUAGAUGUGGUCUGACACUGAACCUUGAGCUUUGGUGGGUUUGGCUAGGCUAACUAGGCAGCACAUUCUAGCAACUGACAUCCCCCCCCUCCCCGGAAACAAAACAAAACAAAAAGAAAAACAAACAAAAAAACAAGCUCUGGAAAUACAGGUCACCCAGAGUCACGCCCAGCUUUUACGUGGGUGCAGGGGAUCUGAACUCAGAUCCUCACACUUAACUUUUAUUCCCCGAGAUAGCUCAGUUCUUUAAUUUGGGUCCUUAGCCACAGCCCUCCAUCAUUAUAAGUGAUGCACAUCACAUUGCUUUGCCUUGUUAUGGGGGGGUGGGGGUGGCAACUGCUUGCCUCGGUAACACAGACUGCCAUGGAUUGGCACCUGCCAGGGACAGAGAAAC